rnacentral:rRNA from 1 species
CGAAUGUAGCAAUACAUGGCGAACUGCUCAGUAACACGUGGACAACCUGCCCUUAGGUUGGGUAUAAACCCGGGAAACUGGGUAUAAUACCCGAUAGGUCUCGAUUGCUGGAAUGCAUCGAGAUUUAAAGCUCCGGCGCCUAAGGAUGGGUCUGCGGCCUAUCAGGUAGUAGUGGGUGUAGCGUACCUACUAGCCUACGACGGGUACGGGUUGUGAGAGCAGGAGCCCGGAGAUGGAUUCUGAGACACGAAUCCAGGCCCUACGGGGUGCAGCAGGCGCGAAAACUUUACAAUGCUGGCAACAGCGAUAAGGGAACCUCGAGUGCCAGGUUACAAAUCUGGCUGUCGAGAUGCCUAAAAAGCAUUUCAUAGCAAGGGCCGGGCAAGACCGGUGCCAGCCGCCGCGGUAACACCGGCGGCUCGAGUGGUAACCGUUAUUAUUGGGUCUAAAGGGUCUGUAGCCGGCCGGAUAAGUCUCUUGAGAAAUCUGGCAGCUUAACUGUCAGGCUUUCAGGAGAUACUGUCUGGCUCGAGGCCGGGAGAGGUGAGAGGUACUUCAGGGGUAGGGGUGAAAUCUUGUAAUCCUUGAAGGACCACCAGUGGCGAAGGCGUCUCACCAGAACGGACCUGACGGCAAGGGACGAAAGCUAGGGGCACGAACCGGAUUAGAUACCCGGGUAGUCCUAGCCGUAAACGAUGCUCGCUAGGUGUCGGCCACGGUGCGACCGUUGUCGGUGCCGUAGGGAAGCCGUGAAGCGAGCCACCUGGGAAGUACGGCCGCAAGGCUGAAACUUAAAGGAAUUGGCGGGGGAGCACCACAACGGGUGGAGC